CCUACGGGAGGCAGCAGUGAGGAAUAUUGGUCAAUGGCCGUGAGCCUGAACCAGCCAAGUAGCGUGAGGGAUGACUGCCCUAUGGGUUGUAAACCUCUUUUGUCGGGGAGUAAAGUGGUCCACGUGUGGGGUUUUGCAGGUACCCGGUGAAUAAGCAUCGGCUAAAUCCGUGCCAGCAGCCGCGGUAAUACGGAGGGUGCGGGCGUUAUCCGGAUUUAUUGGGUUUAAAGGGUGCGUAGGCCGGUAGUUAAGCGCGCGGGUAAAUUUUGUGGCUCAACCAUGACCGGGCCGUUGAAACUGGGGGCCUUGAGUGGGCGAGAGGUAGGCGGAAUGCGUGGUGUAGCGGUGAAAUGCAUAGAUAUCACGCAGAACUCCGAUUGCGAAGGCAGCGUACCGGAGCCCAACUGACGCUGAAGCACGAAAGCGUGGGUAUCGAACAGGAUUAGAUACCCGGGUAGUC
rnacentral:rRNA from 1 species